UUUUCCAGACAAAACUUAAAGAAAACAAAACAAAAACGAAAAUAAAAAAAACAAAGCACAAAGCUAGUUUUGCGUGAUCAAGCUCCCAAAAACAGAACUCAGACCCAAAAAAAAAGGCUCCCAACCCAAGAACAGAACUUCUGACCCCAAAAAAAGCUCCAAAGAACAAGAACACAACACAGAGAAAAGAAAAACCGUAGCUCUUGAGAUGUCUGGAGGUCGAUCUGAUGAAGACACUGUGAAUCUCAAAGUUCAGUUCAACAAGGAUGGAGUUCAAACUUUUUUCCGGGUUAAACGAAGCACCAAACUGCACAAACUCAUGGAAGCAUUCUGUAAAAAUCGUUCCCUUGACCCCAAAUCAAUAGAAUUCACGUUUGAUAGCGUCCGACUCGAGAAGAACAAAACUCCUGAGCAGGAACGCACUACUAAGUCCAAGCGUGAACUAAAUAUUAUCUCCAACUUAAUCACCUUUUGGGUGGGAGAAUGCUCAAUGGACCUCUACAUGUACGGUUUUAACUCAAAAGGGCUUGGUGCAAUUAAUAGUGGACUACAGCUUGGAAUGGAAGAUGGUGAUCUGAUCGAUGCCCUUGUGUCCGGUGAUGGAGCUUAAAAAGUUAAAGCCAUCAUGAUGUAUAUAUGCAGGAAGGAGUUUGUGAAAAUUUGGAUUUUAUUUUCUACUGUUGAACUUUAUUAGAUAUUGAGAUGGGUGUUAGUUAUUUGGAAAAACAGUUUGAACAUGAACCAUAGGAUAACAGCAGUCAAAAAAACUUGCCAGUCCAGCCCAUUAGCCUUGGUGGCACUGGCCAGAGACGGGAGAUUCGAUCUUGCACCUCUUCCAACAUUGUGAAAAGAUCCAAGAGCUAGUACUGUGCUGUGUUUUCUGUUCUCAAGUCAUCUUGUUGCCUCUUAUAACGAAAGACUUGUAUUUUUACCCAUACAAAAAAGCCUUCAGUUUAGGAGGGGGUGAAUGGAAAAAAGGUAUACACCAUGGACAAAUUAAAAAAUCGCGCAACUUCGAAGGAGAGGGUUUCUGCAAGCUCUCUACAACAAAAGCGAAAAAAUAAAAGAAAACAAAUCGUGUCAUACAUGUACAAGUUGAGAUUCCAUAUGUGGAUUUCGG